UGUUAAAAAUUUCAUCCAUUUGUAUUGUUAAGAAUUGGCAUGGUUAACGAAAUAACAAAACAUUGACAUGUGACAUGCCAUGUGUACCUCAUACUGACAUACAAAGACCAAUUUUUAAUAAUAGAAAUAGAUAAAAAAUUUUAAUA
rfam:Gossypium arboreum cultivar AKA8401 contig_10787_1, whole genome shotgun sequence.